UCCUCCCCGUGGCCAGCAUAUCCCUGGGAUCCAAGACAGGUCCGCAUCAUACUGCCAGGGGAUCCUCGGGGUUAGGCACCCAGGAAUGGAUGGGAUGCAGGCAGGGCUGGGACUGGUGGCUGGCUCUAUUGUGCUCUGAUGCUGCAGGAACAGACCAGAUGUCAUCCAGGGGCCCGGAAUUUGGGGGGCGCCGCUGGGUGUGGCAGCAUCAGAAGCCUCAGAUCCGCAUCUCCAUCUGCCACAGGAUUUUCAUUCAUCAGUGCUUGACACUCCCCUACCUCUGCUAGAACACCAUAUGCAUGAAGGCCAAGAUCUUCAUCACUGCUUCACUUUUAUUCUUUCCUGUAUCCCAAGCACCAAGCAGCACAGUGUUUGGCACACAGUAAAGUGCUUAACAAAUAGCUGUUGAAUGAAUGAAUGUGCCUGCCACCAUCUCAUACAUGUUACAGGCAUCACUGCUGCUGCUGGGCUUGUGGUCUGGUCUGCAGCCUUCUCGCCUGAACCGCUCACCUCCCAAGCUGCUUGCAAACUGAAUAAAGCUCUCCCAAAGUCAAGCUGAUCGCUCCUUUCCCUGAGAAACAUGCCUCUGUCCCUGCUUCUUGGGGUCUCCCCAGCCCACCAUCUCCCCUUGGACACAGAGUGCCAGAGCACUAGCAGGGAGAAGUGGCAAAGUUUCAAGAUUUCAUUUGUAAUUCUUUUCAGAUGAAAUGUCAGAAAUAUUAGAAAGGCAGAGUCAUAAAUCUGAUCCUAAUAUAGCAUAGAGCUUAUUAAUGAAGAAUAAAUCACCAAGGGAAACCUCCCCGGGGUGCUUCUCCAGGGCCUGUGGGGAAGAUGGCAUAUUUAUGUGCAAGCGUAGCGGGUCUUUUACCUUCUCAGAUAUAUGGCCAAGGCAGAUUUGUCAGGGCAGUAGCC
rnacentral:lncRNA from 1 species